GACGAACCGAGCGAACGUUAUUCGGAAUCACUGGGCGUAAAGGGUGCGUAGGCGGGCCUUUAAGUCAGGGGUGAAAUCCUGGAGCUCAACUCCAGAACUGCCUUUGAUACUGAAGAUCUUGAGUUCGGGAGAGGUGAGUGGAACUGCGAGUGUAGAGGUGAAAUUCGUAGAUAUUCGCAAGAACACCAGUGGCGAAGGCGGCUCACUGGCCCGAUACUGACGCUGAGGCACGAAAGCGUGGGGAGCAAACAGG
rnacentral:rRNA from 1 species